rnacentral:lncRNA from 1 species
ACUCAAGAAAAGAAGAAUGUGAGUGAUAAGUUCUAGGGUUUAUAACUCGCCACUAACACACAGGGGUUAGAUAAGAGAAAUCAGCAACACUCAUUUUCAUUAUUGAAAUCUGAAUUGAAUACAUAGGUCGUCUCUCUUUAUAUAGAUAAGAGAGGGAACAUAAGACAUUCAGUAGAUGGAAGAAAAUAACAGAAUUUGACUAUCAUAGAAAUGAUGGUGGCUAUAUCUUGCUACAAAGAAAAUAAUAGUGGCCGUAUCUUGCUACUAUGGAAAUGAUGGUGGUCGGAGAUCAUGGUGAAUUAGGAAGAACAAAAUAACUUUGGCUGCAUCUAGCUACUAUGGAAAUGAUGGUGGCUGGAGAUCAUGGUAAAUUAGAAAGAACAAAACAACCUUGAUUGCGUCUUGCUAUUAUGGAAAUGAUGGUGGCUGGAGAUCAUGGUGAAUUAGGAAGAACAAAAUAAGCUUCUAAACUCGGCUCUUUUUUCAAGCAAUAAUUUCUUUCAAAUUCCUGUCAAAUCUGAUUCGCAGCACAUCAUGCUUCUAUGCACGUGAGCAAAAUCAUCAAUUUGGCUCUUGGAUCCAUAUAUGGCAUGUGAUCAUCUCUUUCUUCAUGAUGGUGC